rnacentral:misc_RNA from 1 species
GAUGAAGAACGUAGUGAAAUGCGAUAAGUAAUGUGAAUUGCAGAAUUCAGUGAAUCAUCGAAUCUUUGAACGCACAUUGCGCCCGCCAGUAUUCUGGCGGGCAUGCCUGUUCGAGCGUCAUUUCAACCAUCAAGCCCCCGGCUUGUGUUGGGGACCUGCGGCUGCCGCAGGCCCUGAAAACCAGUGGCGGGCUCGCUAGUCACUCCGAGCGUAGUAAUACAUCUCGCUCAGGGCGUGCUGCGGGUUCCGGCCGUUAAAAAGCCUUAUUUACCCAAGGUUGACCUCGGAUCAGGUAGGAAGACCCGCUGGACUUAAGCAUAUCAAUAAGCGGAGGA